GACAGAGGGGGCAAGCGUUGCUCGGAAUUACUGGGCGUAAAGGGCGCGUAGGCGGGAUGGCAAGUCGGUCGUGAAAUCCCUCGGCUCAACCGAGGAACGUCGAUCGAUACUGCUGUUCUUGAGGAUUGCAGAGGAGACUGGAAUUCCCGGUGUAGCGGUGAAAUGUGUAGAGAUCGGGAGGAACACCGGUGGCGAAGGCGGGUCUCUGGGCAAUACCUGACGCUGAGGCGCGAAAGCGUGGGGAGCAAACGGG
rnacentral:rRNA from 1 species